rnacentral:tRNA from 1 species
GCACCCGUAGCUCAGCUGGAUAGAGCUUUUGAUUGCGGUUCAAAAGGUCGGGCGUUCGAAUCGCUCCGGGUGCA